GACGAACGCUGGCGGCGUGCUUAACACAUGCAAGUCGAACGGAAAGGCCCUGCUUUUGUGGGGUGCUCGAGGGGCGAACGAGUGAGUAACACGUGAGUAACCUGCCCUUGACUUUAGGAUAACUUCAGGAAACUGGGGCUAAUACCGGAUAGGAGCUCCGGCUGCAUGGUGGGGGUUGGAAAGUUUCGGCGGUUGGGGAUGGACCCGCGGCUUAUCAGCUUGUUGGUGGGGGAGUGGCUUACCAAGGCGUUGACGGGUAGCCGGCCUGAGAGGGUGACCGGCCACAUUGGGACUGAGAUCCGGCCCCGACUCCUACGGGAGGCAGCAGUGGGGAAUAUUGCACCAUGGGCGGAAGCCUGAUGCAGCAACGCCGCGUGCGGGAUGACGGCCCUCGGGUUGUAAACCGCUUUCGCCUGUGACGAAGCGUGAGUGACGGUAAUGGGUAAAGCAGCCCCGGCUAGCUACGUG
rnacentral:rRNA from 1 species